rnacentral:rRNA from 1 species
CUAAGACUGGAUAGGAGACAAGAAGGCAUCUUCUUGUUUUUAAAAGACCUAGCAAUAGGUAUGCUUAGGGAGGAGCUUGCGUCACAUUAGUUAGUUGGUGGGGUAAAGGCCUACCAAGACUAUGAUGUGUAGCCGGGCUGAGAGGUUGAACGGCCACAUUGGGACUGAGACACGGCCCAAACUCCUACGGGAGGCAGCAGUAGGGAAUUUUCGGCAAUGGAGGAAACUCUGACCGAGCAACGCCGCGUGAACGAUGAAGUAUUUCGGUACGUAAAGUUCUUUUAUUAGGGAAGAAUAAAUGAUGGAAAAAUCAUUCUGACGGUACCUAAUGAAUAAGCCCCGGCUAACUAUGUGCCAGCAGCCGCGGUAAUACAUAGGGGGCAAGCGUUAUCCGGAAUUAUUGGGCGUAAAGGGUGCGUAGGCGGUUAAAUAAGUUUAUGGUCUAAGUGCAAUGCUCAACAUUGUGAUGCUAUAAAAACUGCUUAGCUAGAGUAAGAUAGAGGCAAGUGGAAUUCCAUGUGUAGUGGUAAAAUGCGUAAAUAUAUGGAGGAACACCAGUAGCGAAGGCGGCUUGCUGGGUCUUUACUGACGCUGAGGCACGAAAGCGUGGGGAGCAAACAGGAUUAGAUACCCUGGUAGUCCACGCCGUAAACGAUGAGUACUAAACGUUGGGUAAAACCAGUGUUGAAGUUAACACAUUAAGUACUCCGCCUGAGUAGUACGUACGCAAGUAUGAAACUUAAAGGAAUUGACGGGACUCCGCACAAGCGGUGGAUCAUGUUGUUUAAUUCGAAGGUACCCGAAAAACCUCACCAGGUCUUGACAUGCUUCUGCAAAGCUGUAGAAACACAGUGGAGGUUAUCAGUUGCACAGGUGGUGCAUGGUUGUCGUCAGCUCGUGUCGUGAGAUGUUGGGUUAAGUCCCGCAACGAGCGCAACCCUUAUUGUUAGUUACCAGCACGUAAUGGUGGGGACUUUAGCAAGACUGCCAGUGAUAAAUUGGAGGAAGGUGGGGACGACGUCAAAUCAUCAUGCCCCUUAUGACCUGGGCUACAAACGUGAUACAAUGGCUGUUACAAAGGGUAGCUGAAGCGCAAGUUUUUGGCGAAUCUCAAAAAAACAGUCUCAGUUCGGAUUGAAGUCUGCAACUCGACUUCAUGAAGUUGGAAUCGCUAGUAAUCGCGAAUCAGCAUGUCGCGGUGAAUACGUUCUCGGGGUUUGUACACACCGCCCGUCA